GAGAUUUGUAUGCCUACACAUUUGAACAGUGUGCAUUUCUAUCUUAUUUGCAAGAUGCCAGCCUUCUGCUCCAGCCAGGUCAGAUUCCUCAGCGAUGUGCAGGCAGGUCACACCCACCUCAACCUCACUGCUGUCCCUGUCCUUUGUAGACUCUUCCCUUCCCUGUGCAAAUAUUGACCCCUCUUUAAUUCAUCAAGAUGAAUCCAGCUUCCCGCAAUGGGUGAGCAGUUCAGGAUGAGACCAUUUCUUCUUCUUACCUACUUCAUCAUUCAUGCUCAUCUCAAUGUUGGCUAUAAGGUAAAGGGAAGCACGCCUCAAGUGAUCAUGCAAACAACUCCAGUGAAGACACUGCGCAUGCUCUCUUCCCAAGUGCGGGCAGGCAGCUGUGCAUGUGGGCAGCCCACCCCAAAGGAAGAAGAAUCAGGAAAGAAGGGGCGCAAGACUCCGGACGUAUGCCAACGCAUAAAACCCCAAGUCAAAAGCUCAAACCACACAUCUGUCCUCCAAGAUGCCUACUUGGCCCCUUCCAAGAGUAAUUUACUUUCGUUUCAUUCCUGCUCUAAAGCUUUUUAAUAAAUGUUCACUCUUGCUCUAAAUCUUGCCUUGGCCUCUUUUUCUGCCUUGUGCCCCUCAGUCAGAUUCUUUCAUCUGAGGAGGGAAGAAUUGAAGUUGCUGUAGACCCGUAUAGAUUCGCUGCCAGCAGCUCGGGAUACCUGCCACCACUAACAUUUUGAUGUUAGAUGUCUGCAGAUCCCACAAUCCCUCCCUCUCUUUCCUGAGAUGAGAGUCUGUAAUGAAGAAUUUGCCCGUGCUCUUGCAUGGUCAUUCCUCCCCCUGAAGCCUCAGUGGGCUGUCAUUUGCCCAGAGGCAACAUGUGUCCUCCAGGCACUUAGAUGCCACUGGCUUCUAGCUCCCACCAGGUUAUUUGGUAGAAAGUCAACAGCCUCAUGGCCGAGCAUGGUGGCUCAUGCCUGUAAUCCCAGCAUUUUGGGAGGCCAAGGUGGGUGGAUCACUUGAGGUCAGGAGAUCGAGACCAGCCUGGCCAACAUGGUGAAACCCCAUUUCUAC
rnacentral:lncRNA from 10 species